rnacentral:rRNA from 1 species
UAAUGAGGGAAGGAAAAGAAACUAACUAGGAUUUUCUUAGUAGCGGCGAGCGAAAAGAAAUAAGUUCAGCACUGAGUUAUUUUGUUAUAUUAGCAAAUAUAAGAUGCAGUGUAUGGAAUAUCUAUAAUCUAGUAUGAUAAAUUAAUAGUCCAAGUCCUUCUUAAAUGAGGCCAUUUACCCAUAGAGGGUGCCAGGCCCGUAGUGACGUUAAUGAUUACUAGAAGAUAUUUCCUAAGAGUCGUGUUGCUUGAUAGUGCAGCACUAAUUGGGUGGUAAACUCCAUCUAAAACUAAAUAUAACCAUGAGACCGAUAGCAAACAAGUACCGUGAGGGAAAGUUGAAAAGAACUCUGAAUAGAGAGUUAAAUAGUACGUGAAACUGCUUAGAGAU